UAACCUUGUUUUUCACUGUGUUCACAUAUUAGAUGGAGAAAUAAUUACAGAGGGAUUUAUGGAUAUCUGCUUUUGUUAUCCUGUAAAUCAGAAUAUACUGUCUAUGAAUAUGUUGCCCAUACCUCUCUAUCAUUUAUCAGUCUUUUACUUCUCACUAAUUUAGACUUUUGUUUCCACAGGUGGGAAUGCUGUCCUCCAUUGGUUGAAGAGAUACCAAAAACAUCAUAACCAACCAUGGCCAUUAUGGCUCCAUGCUUAAGGGUCACGGCUAUCAUGUCUUCCACACUCUGGGUCUUGUGGUGUGGAUACACCUUACUGCAGGCACCUUCAAGUUAUAGUUCACAUCUACAAAGUAUGAAGGAUAGACACGACAAUUCUGAUUCCACGAUCUUCCAACAUGAAUGCCCUCCUCUCAAGUGCCUUUCUGUCAAGGCAACGCAUUUGUGAGUGCCUAAUGCUAGCUACAUACGCUCCAUAAAGACGGGAAUCGCAUGGUGUCAUCAGAUAUGGCUGUAAAUUGGUGAACACUCUGCAUAACAUUGUGUUGUCCACCCCUUCUGACACCACCUCACAACAUUCUUCAGGGCUUAAAACAAACACAUUGUUUGGGCUUUUCAAUGACACCACUUUUUCCUUGUUUUCUUGCUUCAGCUUUGAUGUUUCCUCCAGACGAUUUGCUACUUGAGUUAAGACAUUUUUUCCAGAGCGGACCAUGUUCUUCAUCUGAUGUAGAUAGUUUUCAAAUUUAAACGCACUGCAGUUGUCAAGGCAGCCAAAGUUUUGAGCAUCUUCUGAAAGGUGCAGCAAUGAAUGGACGUUGUACACUAAAAAUGUCUCUCCAUAUAUCUCCCGUCCUUUCUCCACAAAGUAUUGAAGUAGUUGGCUGGCAUAAGGCCCUUGUGCCUUUGUAAGUUCUGGACUCACUAAGAUGCACAGAGCAGUGCUAAAACACAAGAAGUGUUCGUACAGUUGUCCUUGUAGUGCUCCCUUCAGAACUAUCUUCCCUGUGUAUAAUGCAAACUGUCUGAAUUCGGUUGCUUUCCAACGCUCAAUUUCUUGCAACCCCUUGGCUUUCUGGCAAAGCAGUCAGGAAUUGUUUUCUUCAGUGUCACCAGCCUAUUGCUUACACGGGCCACGUCCCCUGAUGACAUGCGGUACUCGGAUCUACCUCUUGUCCACAAUAGCAGCAACUUUUUCAUGACCCCAAGGCAGCUCUGGUGCAUGUAAUCGAUGGGGAAUGAUUUGAUCAUGUCGAUUGGGAGGACAGAGAAAGGCGAAAUCUUCUCCUCGUGAUGGUGUUCUGGUUGCCAACACUCCCUGAAUGAUUGGUCUGUCCUCAAGGUCAGAUUGUCAACAUCUGGAUACGUCAUCCGACCAUCCCAGGAUCCCUUCUGGGUGCAUCUGUCGCACCCAUAGUAGCCCGAGAACUGCUUGACACACUUGACCAUGGCUUUGGCAGGAGCAUCGCAGGUUUGGAUGCAGCAGUGGUGAGGCAGAGGGGAAAAUACAUGCUGGUGACAAAUUAAUGGAACAAAGAACUGGCCAGAGGGACAAGUUUGAGCUUUUAAAUAAUGGUAGCCCAUCAACAUUUAAGGAGAGGUCCAGUGACUGCAGAUGGUCUGUCACAGCUGCAUAAUAUCUGCUCAGAUGCUUUGAGAGCUGAUCUGCCACAUUGAACUGUACACUCUCAACAGCAUCUUUGGUAUCCCUGGUGUCAUAGUUUACUUCCUGGAGGAGGAUGCUUUAGCAAUUUCAGCAUUGGACUUGUUCCCAUCCUUUUUGGUCGCCUCUCCUGCACUUGCUGUUUGGAAGUCAUUGCUUGCAUCUGAUUCAGGACCUGUCAUUCUGCAUUUCUGUUUUCAUUCGCUUUGCUUACAUUUUGAACCCUUAGCAAUAAUAAACGUUUUCUAUUUGGGCUAUAGUUGUACAUUCAAGUUUGUUUUUUCUUAAUUGAAUGUGUUUGUGUGGAUAUGCAACAAUUAUUUAUUUUAUAGUACUUCAUUGAUGGAAAUUUGCAAAGAUUCUGAAUUAAAAAAACACAUUAACAUUGUUCUUAAUUUUUAUUGUCAUUGUUUUAAUCAGUUAAUCUAUAACUGCACAAUGGUGGUGCACUAUUGCCUGAUUUUGUGUGCAUUGUGAUUUAGAUUAUGCAACACAUUAAAUUGACCCUAAUUAAGUCA